rnacentral:lncRNA from 13 species
ACACCCACCCAUCCCUCCCACUGAACUCCAUCACACAGCCCCCAGUGCCACCCAGGAGCACUAUGCCACAGCCUUAAGCAUCUGAUUUCUUGACCACAGUCUCCUCUGGUCACUGGGAUGCCCAUCCAGAGAAGAAUGCAGAGGAAGGGAGGGAGGCAGAGAUUCCCCCUACUGUGGCAGUUUCCCCCAAACUAAUCAUGUAGGUAGGAGGAAAGCUGUAGGUGAGGUGGGUGCCUCUUUGACGGUUUCUUUCUUUCUUUUUUUCUUUCUUACUUUUCUUUGGUUUCGUGUGUGUGUGUGUGUGUGUGUGUGUGUGUGUGUGUGUGUGUGUGUGUGUGUGUGUUU